GUGACGGUGGUUCUGGCCCAGCUGGGGGCCCUGGUUCUGCGCCGGGGGGGGGCUCAGCGCCUGGGGACCCCUGGGCACCUGGGUGCAGGAGGUGGCCCGUGACCCCCGGCCCCCCCACCAGGAGGCGGCCCUGCUGGUGCUGAGUGCGGCGCUGGAGGCGGCCCCCCAAGUCCUGGCCCCCCACGGCCCCGCCCUGGCCGCCCUGUGUCGGGGGGCUCUUGCUCCCGGGGUGCCCCCCCAGCCCCCCGGCGUACAGCCUGCAGGCCCUGGGGGGGGCUGGGGGCCAUGUUGGGGGACACCCACACGGAGCUGCUGCGCUCGCUGCUCCCCGACAUCCUGACGGCCCUGAAGAAGCUGCUUGACGCUGACGAGGAGCGGGGCACCGAGGCCCUGGAGGUGUUGGAC